rnacentral:miRNA from 1 species
AUAAGGCACAAUAUUCAGAUCCAGAAUGUCCCUAAUAAGCAUUCUUAUUAGGGACAUUCUGGAUCUGAAUAUUGUGAAGAGGUG